rnacentral:rRNA from 1 species
AGUUUGAUCCUGGUAGGACGAACGCUGGCGGCGUGCUUAACACAUGCAAGUCGAACGGAAAGGCCCUUCGGGGUGCUCGAGUGGCGAACGGGUGAGUAACACGUGGGUGAUCUGCCCUGCACUUUGGGAUAAGCCUGGGAAACUGGGUCUAAUACCGGAUAGGACCAUGGCCUUCAUGGGUUGUGGUGGAAAGCUUUUGCGGUGUGGGAUGGGCCCGCGGCCUAUCAGCUUGUUGGUGGGGUAAUGGCCUACCAAGGCGACGACGGGUAGCCGGCCUGAGAGGGUGACCGGCCACACUGGGACUGAGAUACGGCCCAGACUCCUACGGGAGGCAGCAGUGGGGAAUAUUGCACAAUGGGCGCAAGCCUGAUGCAGCGACGCCGCGUGGGGGAUGACGGCCUUCGGGUGGGAAACCUCUUUCAGCAUAGACCCCCGCGUGAGUGACGGUAUGUGCAGAAGAAGCACCGGCCAACUACGUGCCAGCAGCCGCGGUAAUACGUAGGGUGCGAGCGUUGUCCGGAAUUACUGGGCGUAAAGAGCUCGUAGGUGGUUUGUCACGUUGUUCGUGAAAACUCACAGCUUAACUGUGGGCGUGCGGGCGAUACGGGCAGACUGGAGUACUGCAGGGGAGACUGGAAUUCCUGGUGUAGCGGUGAAAUGCGCAGAUAUCAGGAGGAACACCGGUGGC